AUGCCGGAGCCUGCCCCGGUGAUCAGGCGGAUCCGCAAGGAGCUGAAACAGCUCUGGAUGGACCCGGCGGCGUUCUGCCGGCCCGGCGCGACGCCCGUGACGGACCUGUUUCACUGGGAGGUGAUCAUCGACGGCCCCCACGACAGCCCCUACGCCGGCGGCACGUUCCCCGUCGACGUCGCCUACCCCAAGGACUACCCCUUCAAGCCCAUCAAGCUCACCUUCAAAACCAAGGUGUACCAUCCCAACAUCGGCCCGGAGGGGAAGAUGGCGCUGGACAUCUUCGGGAGGGGGUGGUGGCCUAAUCUCACGAUAAGGACAGUCCUCCUGUCCGUCGUCUCCGUCCUCUACGACCCCCUGCUCGACCUCCCCGUCCGCCACGACGCCGCCCGGCUGUACAAGCGCGAGCGGGGUCUCUAUGAUGAGAAGGCCAGGCGCUGGACCCGCAGGUACGCCUCGGCGCCGGUCGUCUCCUUCUAUCCGGCGGGGAUGGAGCUGUUCGAGGAGCUGCUGGAUGAGGCGGCGAUUAGUGGGGCAGUGGCACGCCGUCGUUCUUGCGGAGCAGGGAAAUGGCGUUUCUUCGGGGGCCGCCUCCUCGGCGCCAUCUAG
rnacentral:rRNA from 1 species